ACAACUAUAGCUUAACGGUAGAGCAAUCGCUUAGACGGCGAAAGGUGUCAGUUCAAAUCUGGCUAGUGUUU